rnacentral:rRNA from 1 species
UACGUAGGGUGCAAGCGUUGUCCGGAAUUAUUGGGCGUAAAGAGCUCGUAGGCGGUCUGUCGCGUCCGCUGUGAAAGCCCGGGGCUUAACCCCGGGUCGGCAGUGGAUACGGGCAGGCUAGAGGUAGGUAGGGGAGAAUGGAAUUCCCGGUGUAGCGGUGAAAUGCGCAGAUAUCGGGAGGAACACCGGUGGCGAAGGCGGUUCUCUGGGCCUUACCUGACGCUGAGGAGCGAAAGCGUGGGGAGCGAACAGG